AUAACACUAGUGCACAUUUCCAAGUUGAAAUGGAGGCUAUAUAUGCGUAUGUACCAUAUUACGCAAUCUUAUUGGUUGUUAUUCCAAAUAUCGACAAGAAUGCAUCACCUGACAUAAACACCAACAUGACAAUGGGAAACAGAAGCACACGCAUACUGCUGUACGACAAGUGGAUCAGCUGCAAAACAUGCAGCGCUCGCUAAAGUGUUCAGCUGGUGCACGCAGUGAGUGGAAUGCAACUGCAUACACAACUCCCUUCCCACACCACGACCAGAUGCAGCAAAGCACUAAAUGAAACAGAAAAAAAUGAUAUAAGGCUUCCAACCUUUCUUUUCCGUUACUCCGCUAAGGGACUUCAAGGAACCAUGAUUGUUAAGCCUAAACCAGAUCGCGUAGAUUGCCUUCAUCGCACUCGGAGUGGGCGACAAAAAAAAGACGACACUGCCUGUCACCUCCCCCCAAUGCCAGACUUUGCACGCGGCACGCGUCCUUUGUCAGCGGCAGGUGUUGCGACCACGAGACGUGCGGAAAGAGUGGAGAGGGUGGGGGAGAGAAAAACAGACGGAAGAGAAGAAAUGACAGAUGGAUUGAAAAGAAAGGUAAAUCCACCUGCAGGGAGGGCACAGAAAGGGCCUACACAACACAAAUGGCAGAGACGAGAGUGAAUAACCGAGCGCUGAAGGAAGACAACAACAACAAAAAAAAAAAAGAGAGAGAGAGAGAAAGAAAAGAUAAACAAUGAAACUGGAGAAUGUCAAAAUACAAUGCACUUGUGUGACAGGAAGAGUGAGAAAAGAAAGAAAAAGGGACAGGCUGAAUGUACGAGGCUACAUAGUUGACGCAGAAAGAAUGAAAAGCAACAGCAGGCUCCUUUCGCGGCUCGCAUGUCAUGGAAAAAAUUUCAGAUACCCUCUCCGCUGGCAAAUCUUCUAUGCUUUCAUUUUGACAUGAUGAACAGAGCCACCUUUUGCAUAGCAGCUGCACUCCAAGGUGGGACCCAUCACUGUCAUGGCUGAGCGGAUGCCAAGGUGGAAGAAAUAAACAGCCCCGCACUGAGAACCUCAAAUAGUCUCCCUGCCGUCAGGACAUACAAAGUAACCAGCGAUGCAGCAUCAAAAAAUGCUAGACCCCGGCUGGCACAGUUCACAGCAUGGAACAACUGCCAAAAUGAAGUGAUGUCCAACA
rnacentral:lncRNA from 1 species